GCAGGUGUAGUACAACGGCUAGUACGUGGCCUUGCCAAGGCUGAGACGUGGGUUCGAUUCCCAUCACUUGCUCCA
rnacentral:tRNA from 1 species